CUAACCCUCCAGCCCGGCUGGUGUGUUUGGUCGACGUCCCCCCCGGGGGACGGGCCCGAAAGGCAGCGGCGGCGCCGCGUCCGAUCCUCGAGCGUAUGGGGCUUUGUCACGCGCUCUGGUAGGGUCGGCCGGCUGGCCAGCCAGCGACCUCACGGUCACCUAUUAUUUUUCUCUUA
rnacentral:misc_RNA from 1 species